CACUGUGUACCUUUACCUGUUGCUUCCCCUUGGGCUCCAACAACCGGGGCCCGAGGGGGAGGGACCCCGCAAACCCUUUGCUCUCGAUGCAGUCUGUCUGAAGAAUUAGCAUAAUUUUUUAUGUUUAAACGAAAACCAAAAAAACUUUCAACAACGGAUCUCUUGGUUCUCCCAUCGAUGAAGAACGCAGCGAAAUGCGAUAAGUAGUGUGAAUUGCAGAAUUCAGUGAAUCAUCGAAUCUUUGAACGCACAUUGCGCCCUCUGGUAUUCCGGGGGGCAUGCCUGUUCGAGCGUCAUGAAAACACCUCGAGCGGCGGUGGUCAAACACCAACGCUCGGUCUUGGGAUUGAGGGACCGCUGUCUGGCUCCUCUGCCCGCAAUCCAGUGGCGGACGUCCUGUGGGCCGGGAGCGUGAUGAUCAUCUCAAACGCUACUGGCAUCCGGGAAGGUCCCGCACUAACCCCCCCUCAGAUUACAAUCUGCAGUUUGACCUCGGAUCAGGUAGGGAUACCCGCUGAACUUAAGCAUAUCAAUAAGCGGAGGA
rnacentral:rRNA from 1 species